rnacentral:rRNA from 1 species
UACGUAGGGGCCUAGCGUUGUCCGGAUUUAUUGGGCGUAAAGAGCUCGUAGGCGGUUCGGCAAGUCGGAUGUGAAAUCUCCACGCUCAACGUGGAGGGGCCAUUCGAAACUGCCGUGACUUGAGUCCGGUAGGGGAGUGUGGAAUUCCCGGUGUAGCGGUGAAAUGCGCAGAUAUCGGGAGGAACACCUGUGGCGAAAGCGGCUCUCUGGACCGUAACUGACGCUGAGACACGAAAGCGUGGGUAGCAAACAGG